AGUCGGGGAAGUCCUACACGCCCAGCGCCCCGAGAACUCCGCCAGGUCUUGAUCGAAGCAACGGUAUCGGGUCGUAGCGGUGCGAUGUAGAUAGCUUACCCU
rnacentral:SRP_RNA from 1 species